GCUAUUUCAAUCGUGAGCCAAUAGAAAACCAUCCUUUGCAUUUGGCGGCAGAGCUCAGGUUUAACCCUUAACCUUUUCGGGCUCUGGCUCGGGCUCGGAGAGAACAUCACUCCCCAGGUUCCUGACCAGCGGGGACGCUGAAAGAGCGACCUCAACAGUGGACGCCGAGGCCUACGGGAAACGUAGUCUUGACUCCUUCUGGCUCCCCGCGCGGCGCUCUGGGAAGGGGAUUCCGGGAUCCCUCUGCGCAUGUGCAGCCGUAGCCCCGCCUCCUCCCUCGUCUUCUCAGGACUCCGCGGGAGCCGUUAAGUACCUCAGUCUCCUCGGGAAGUGGAGGGCGCGCCCGGGGUGAGAGUGACGGGGAGCGCUGGGGGCGGGAGUUCUCGGGUCCCCGCCGUCCCCAGCGCCGUGUGUGCGCCCGGGCGGGACCUCGGCGGGGGGCGGCCGGUGGGGGACCUCGGGCUCCCGGGGCGCAGGUGCGGCGGAGCCAGUCAGGAGCGGGGACCGUGUGCCCGGCUCUCCUGAAGCCCGACCCCAGAAAAGCCCACGUCGGCGGCGGGAGGCCGGUUAAAACGCGGACGGGGCCCGAGUCUGCGGGGCAGCCGAGCUCCGGAGCCCGAAAGGCCCGGUCAGUCCCGGCUCUGUCACCUGUGAGCAGGGGCGACAGAAGGGCCUGGGUCAGCGUGCUCAUGUGGACGUGAGAUUGAUAGCGCCGUCUUACGGCGUCGUUUUGAGCCUUAGGUCCGAGUCAUCGUUGUACAGUAUUUAGAUGAGGGCCGGGUAGGAAGCCCUGCGUAAGGGACAGCUGCUGCCGUAGUUGGAAGUCAGUUUGUUGGUGUCGCUGGAUGGCCUGAUGUGCUCUCACGACCGCUUCCCCAGCGCCCAGGCUCAGAGGCUGCGCUGCUGUCAGACAUGUCCAUCACCACAUGUGACAUUAAUGACAUCAUCCUGACCUCGCAGGAUCCCAGAAUAAUGAUGCUUGAAGGAUUUUCCAAAGUCGUCUACUUUAAUUCUUGAAAACUUUAAAGACAUUGGACCUGAAAGUUUCAGUGACUUGUCCAGGGAAACCUGGUUUAUGACAGAGUUAGAAGGAAAACUGCAGUUCCCUCUCAGGUGUCACCAAAAGCAUCUUAUCAAAGGGGCCUUCUGAGGAAUACAUCCCAGCUGAAACGAACAAAAGUUCCUGCCUUCAAGCAUCCCAUCUCUUUUCUGUGAAUUGUCUGUACCAAGAGCUGAGCCACAGUUCUCUACACUCACCCAGGAGCCACAGAAAGUGAACAUCCUUCAGCUUCACCAUCGUCUCCACCCGUCAGGAAGGUACACUUCAAGCCCACCCUUCUCACCGACCCUCCCUUGACUGCAGCAGGUGUCUCUGUUCAGAAGAGUCUCUCCACAUGUUGUUGCAUCUCUGACAUUGCUUUUUGAUAGCAAGUCUGGUCCUGGCUGCACUAAGGUUCCUAGGACUCACAAUUGUGAAAACAUCCUUUAAAGUCUGAGCAAGAUAAAUUCCACCAAACAAAUGUCCAGGUGAGAAGGGGUUAUAAGAAUGACAUGUUGACUAUAUUCUUCAAAAAUGGCUUGUCAUAAAAAAGGAAGGCUUAGAAACUAAUCCAGAUUAUAGGAGACUAAAGACACGUGACAACUAAAUGCAGCAUUGUGAUUCUAGACUGAAUCCUAUAAUGGAGCUUUUAAAAAAAGCCACAAAGGACAUUACUCAGUAAACUGACAAAAAUGGAAUAUGAAUGGAAGAUUAGUUAAAAGUUUUAUGCCAAUGUUAAAUUUACUGAAGGAGAUAACAGUGCUGUAUGUUAGAGAAUAUUAUUUUUCUUAAGAAACACACAAUGAAAUAAUCAAGGAGAAAGUACAAGAUGCGCAAAAUGUGUUCUCAGGUAUUCAGGAAUGUAGGCAUAUUUUUUCACAUAUGUGUGUGUGUAUGUGUGUGUCUUCAGAUAGAGAGAGAAAGGCGAGGGAGGGAAGGAGACAGAAACAGAUGAAGACAGCGGAGAGAUGGGGAAAAUGGAUCAAAAUAUUGAUAGGUAAAUCUGGAUAAAGAGUAUAUAUAUGGUUGUUUACCAUCCGUGCAUCUUUUCCACAAGUUUAUUUUCAAAUAAAUACAUUUUUCAAAUGGACCAUUGGCCGUUGUCCUGAAUUUUACCUAACCUUUGAGAUUUCUGGUUUUGAUUCCUGGAUCUGCCACCACCACCAUAGCCAGACCCCCGUAGUGUUCAAU
ensembl:lncRNA